AUCCAGCCAUGCCGCGUGAGUGAUGAAGGUCUUAGGAUUGUAAAGCUCUUUCACCGGUGAAGAUAAUGACGGUAACCGGAGAAGAAGCCCCGGCUAACUUCGUGCCAGCAGCCGCGGUAAUACGAAGGGGGCUAGCGUUGUUCGGAUUUACUGGGCGUAAAGCGCACGUAGGCGGACUUUUAAGUCAGGGGUGAAAUCCCGGGGCUCAACCCCGGAACUGCCUUUGAUACUGGAAGUCUUGAGUAUGGUAGAGGUGAGUGGAAUUCCGAGUGUAGAGGUGAAAUUCGUAGAUAUUCGGAGGAACACCAGUGGCGAAGGCGGCUCACUGGACCAUUACUGACGCUGAGGUGCGAAAGCGUGGGGAGCAAACAGGAUUAGAUACCCUG
rnacentral:rRNA from 1 species